rnacentral:rRNA from 1 species
UACGAAGGGUGCAAGCGUUACUCGGAAUUACUGGGCGUAAAGCGUGCGUAGGUGGUUCGUUAAGUCUGUCGUGAAAGCCCCGGGCUCAACCUGGGAAUGGCGAUGGAUACUGGCGGGCUAGAGUGCGGUAGAGGAGAGUGGAAUUCCCGGUGUAGCAGUGAAAUGCGUAGAGAUCGGGAGGAACAUCAGUUGCGAAGGCGGCUCUCUGGACCGGCACUGACACUGAGGCACGAAAGCGUGGGGAGCAAACAGG